UACAGAGGGGGCGAGCGUUGUUCGGAAUUACUGGGCGUAAAGGGCGCGUAGGCGGCCUUCUAAGUCGGACGUGAAAUCCCUCGGCUCAACCGAGGAACUGCGUCCGAUACUGGUUGGCUUGAAUUCGGGAGAGGGAUGCGGAAUUCCAGGUGUAGCGGUGAAAUGCGUAGAUAUCUGGAGGAACACCGGUGGCGAAGGCGGCAUCCUGGACCGAUAUUGACGCUGAUGCGCGAAAGCCAGGGGAGCAAACAGG
rnacentral:rRNA from 1 species